CACGUACUAUCAGAGUUUGAUCCUGGCUCAGGACGAACGCUGGCGGCGUGCCUAACACAUGCAAGUCGAACGGAGUUACGGGAGCUUGCUCCUGUAACUUAGUGGCGAACGGGUGAGUAACGCGUGAGAAACCUGCCUUUCAGUGGGGGACAACAGUUGGAAACGACUGCUAAUACCGCAUAAUGUGCCGGGAGGGCAUCCUCCUGGUACCAAAGCUUAAUGUGCUGAAAGAUGGUCUCGCGUCUGAUUAGCUAGGUGGCGGGGUAACGGCCCACCAUGGCGACGAUCAGUAGCCGGUCUGAGAGGAUGAACGGCCACAUUGGGACUGAGAUACGGCCCAG
rnacentral:rRNA from 1 species